GUUUCUUUCUGUAUAUCUCUGACCGUCCACCCCUGCCUCCCAAGUGCUGGGAUUAAAGGUGUUUACCACCACUGCCCGGCUAAUGAUGAUUCUUAAACCCUCUAACCUCCCUUUUAGCCCACCACCCACCAAAGGUAGUGGAAAAGAAAGGAUACAGGGGAUGUGGGCCUGUUUAGAAAGGCUCUUUUGAGAAACUCCCGUCUGUGUUGUCUAGAAAUCCGGCACUUCAUUUCACAGGUCAGCAGGCAGCGGCAGGUCAAUCUGCUCGCAAACACUUCACGGAUAAACCACAGUCCAGUUUGGUAGAGUCGGGAUAGCAAACAGGAGUCAGCAGCGGUGGCACUACCUAGCAGAGACUGCCAGGCCUCAGCUAGACUGAGUGGGAGGGACCCAGAGGGACACCAGGAGCAGUUCUUGGCUUUGCCUCUCUCUGGAAGGUCAGUGAAGACUUGAGACCCAGCAUUGCACAGCUAGCUGUACCAGCAAGCCAAGUUCAGCCUCUGUCACUCUGUAAAGUCCUUUCAUCCUCUCUCCAAAUAUAACAUGUCCUCCAAGGGUCUUGUCUCAGCAUGUGUCUUCCCUCAGCACAUGCGUCUGUCUCAGCUGGCAUCCCUGUGCCAGUCAGCCCAAGUCCACAGAAGUGGCAAGAAACUGCAGCAUACCACCAGAAGUCUUUUGGUGUGUUUUUCUACAUAAUAUAAGGCAGACCAAUACAUGCAUGUUGUUGGCAAAGAAUCCUUCAUCACGUGUCCUUUCACACUCCUGUUUUAGCAGAACCUUCUUUACCUGUGCCUGCUUCAGCUAGACGUUCCUUCUCCAGUCUGCCUUCGCCUUUCACGUCUGUGUCCACUUCAGGAACACUCCUUCCCGUGUUUGCCCCAGCAAAACGCCAUCCAGCCGACUUUCAAAGAACCCUUAAGUUCCCACUUCAAUACCCUUUUGCCCAAACAGCUUUUCUUGCAAAUGAUGGUUGCAGUGAGUCAUUGGUCUGGUUUGAGGCCUCUGGCUUCUGCUGCUCAUCAAUACUGGAUCUCUUCUCUGAUGACCCUGUUGUUGCCCUGUGUGGUGGAGACCCAGCCCCUUCCUGUGUGUUCAUCCAGCACUGCCCAGGUGAGAGGUAGGGCCAGCUCACCCCUACCCCUGCCCAAGUGAGGUGUGGGGGUCACUCUUCAGUGCCACAGCUAGUGUGGGGCAGGGCCAGCUCUCCUGCUCAGCUCUCCUUUUUUGCUUUUUUAAGACAGGGUUUCUUUAUGUAGCCUGGAUGUCCUGGAGCUAGACUCGUAGGCCAAGUUGGCCUUGAACUCAGAGAUCCUUGUUCCUCUGCUUCCCCAGUACUGGGAUUUAAGGCACACACCACCACCACCUGGCUUUUUUUGUUUUCUCCUUAAAGACAGGAUCUUACUCUGUAGCCUGGCCUGUUGAGUAUUUUAUUUGUGGAGUUUCAUUUUGUUUUGAUUGUUUGUUUGUUUAUAUCUUCCACUUUACCUAUAAGUUCCAAGAGAGUUGAAAGGGUAUGAAACUUUGUUUUGUAUUUCACAAAAUGGGUCAUUUUGGAGUAUAAUAGCUAGCUCUUAACUAGAUCGUUAAAAUGCAAUGAAUUGCUAGAGUUGUCUAGUUUAGCUAAGAGGCCUCCCUGGGGUAAGGCAAAAUUAUUCAAUGAGAAGCAGUUAUGGACUCAAGAAACACAGAUUGUGGGGCUAGGGAUGUGUCUUAGCGGGUGACUUGUUCGGCACAAAGGAAACCCUGGGUACUGUUCACAGCAGCCCACAAACUAGGCAUGGCCAACCAGGCCUGUGCGGCAAAGGUAGAGACGGGACGUAGUCAGAAGUCAGUGCCGUACUUAGCUACGUAGCAAGGCUGAGAACAGCCUGGGCUGUAUGAGACCCUUUCUUAGUUUCAAAGGAAAAGGAAAAGGAAAAAAUCGCUGAUGUUUGUGCACGCUUUUGCUCCCAGCACUCGAGGCAGAGGCAGGCGGAUCUCUAAGUGUGAGGCCAGCCUGGUCUACAGCACCAGUUUCAGGACAGCCAGGGCUACACAGAGAAAUCCUGUCUC
rnacentral:lncRNA from 1 species